AUGUAUGCCUUCCUUGUCUUUUUCCAAGUCAUUGAUAAAUUGAUUUAUGAAAGAAGGAAGGAAGGAAGGAAGGAAGGAAGGAAGGAAGGAAGGAAGGAAGGAAGGAAGGAAGGAAGGAAGGAAGGAAAAAGAGAGAAAAGAAAGAAAGAAAGAAAGAGAGAGAGAAAGAAAGAGAGAGAGAAAGAAAGAGAGAGAGAAAGAGAAAGAAGUAAACAGAGGAAGGAAGGAAGGAAGGAAGGAAGGAAGGAAGGAAGGAAGGAAGGAAGGAAGGAAGGAAGGAAGGAAGAAUGCUGCUCCAACUAUGUAGGAAGCCAGCUCAAUGUCCAUGAGCCACAUACUCUUCUAUAAUAAUGAUGCUAACUACUACUACUACUAAAUGUAAUAAUAAUAGUAUAUGUAACAUAUAAUAAUGAUAAUAACAAUAAUCAAAAAGCUUCACAUUGUUUUAGCUUAUUUGAUCCUCUUAAUGAUACUAUGAGAAAAGUGCUAGUAUUGGAAAUCAUGUCCUUCUCCAGCACUGAAUCCACUAUGCAUCAUAAAUGCAAAGUUGUUGGUUUUGUGGGGAUGAUGGGAGUGAGGUAGAAGACUCAUAAUGGACAGGGACUAAGGAAAGGCCUCCAAGGUAGUCCUUGAGUAAGCCUUGAAUAGGGAGAUAUUCUCAGAUGAAAGGAAGAUUCACACUGGGAGACCAGCAGAACUGUGGAAAGGGGGCCAUUUUUCCAAAUGAAAAGAAUGACUGUCUCAGCUGGCUGUCUAGGAAGUGAUCAAACUCCAAAGUAUUUGUAUAAACAUUCUGGCCUAAGGCAGCUUCCCCUCCCAAACCACAGAAGCCUGGCUGGUUUCCUCUAAAUGCUAAUUUAUAGCCCACAAAUGUUAAUGAAUCUUUGGGUAUAAGUCUAGACAUUCAGUGAAUCUUUGAUAUUUCUAGUAUAGCUAGACUUGGGCAUCUCUUCUGGGUUCUACGUAUUUCCCAGUUGGUCCAGCAGAUCCAGUGAGUUUUUGUAGGAAAACUUCACUGUGGCAAAAGUGGGAAAUGUUUCUUUUCAUCUCCUUAAUUAUAACUGCAUUUGGUCUCCCUCAGAGCUUUUCCAUGAGUACGACGGAAUGAGCAGCAGCUCUAUAACAAGAAUACUUGGGUUCUAAUUCUAUUUCUAUUGUUUACUCUCAUUCUCUUUGAGGACUUGCCACAUUUUGUUGUGAUACAUAGUCAAAGGUUUUAGUGUAAUCAAUAAGCAUAUAAAUAUAUAACAUAUAUGCAUGUAUGCAUGUUUUGCAUAUAUAAAUUCCAAGUUAAUAAAUACAAAUAUAUACAUGUUUAUUUGGGAGGU
rnacentral:lncRNA from 1 species